UUAAGUUCAGCGGGUAUCCCUACCUGAUCCGAGGUCAAUCGUUGAAAAUAUCAUGGGUUUCCUGGCCAGCCUCGGGGACGAACUUUCGAAGCGGGGAUAAAUUUACUACGCUGAAAGCCGUCCCGGGCCGCCAAUACCUUUGGGGCACGCCUAUAAGGCGAAAUCCCAAUACCAAGCUACGCUUGAGGGGUGCAAUGACG
rnacentral:misc_RNA from 1 species